UACGUAGGGUGCAAGCGUUAAUCGGAAUUACUGGGCGUAAAGCGUGCGCAGGCGGCUUUGCAAGACAGAUGUGAAAUCCCCGGGCUUAACCUGGGAACUGCAUUUGUGACUGCAUGGCUAGAGUGCGGCAGAGGGGGAUGGAAUUCCGCGUGUAGCAGUGAAAUGCGUAGAUAUGCGGAGGAACACCGAUGGCGAAGGCAGCCCCCUGGGUUAACACUGACGCUCAGGCACGAAAGCGUGGGGAGCAAACAGG
rnacentral:rRNA from 1 species